AAUCAACGCUGGCGGCGUGCCUAACACAUGCAAGUCGAACGAGAAAGUGGAGCAAUCCAUGAGUAAAGUGGCGACCGGGUGAGUAACACGUGACUAACCUACCUCCGAGUGGGGAAUAACUCCGGGAAACCGGGGCUAAUACCGCAUAACAUCGCAAGAUCAAAGCAGCAAUGCGCUUGGAGAGGGGGUCGCGGCUGAUUAGCUAGUUGGCGGGGUAACGGCCCACCAAGGCGAAGAUCGGUAUCCGGCCUGAGAGGGCGCACGGACACACUGGAACUGAAACACGGUCCAG
rnacentral:rRNA from 1 species